CAGCAGCCGCGGUAAUACGUAGGGUGCAAGCGUUAAUCGGAAUUACUGGGCGUAAAGCGUGCGCAGGCGGUUUUGUAAGACAGAGGUGAAAUCCCCGGGCUCAACCUGGGAACUGCCUUUGUGACUGCAAGGCUAGAGUACGGCAGAGGGGGAUGGAAUUCCGCGUGUAGCAGUGAAAUGCGUAGAUAUGCGUAGGAACACCGAUGGCGAAGGCAAUCCCCUUGGCCUGUACUGACGCUCAUGCACGAAAGCGUGGGGAGCAAACAGGAUUAGAUACCCCAGUAGUCCCUGUCUCUUAUCC
rnacentral:rRNA from 1 species